GAUGAACGCUGGCGGCGUGCCUAAUACAUGCGAGUCGAGCGAACAGAUGAGGAGCUUGCUCCUCUGACGUUAGCGGCGGACGGGUGAGUAACACGUGGAUAACCUACCUAUAAGACUGGGAUAACUUCGGGAAACCGGAGCUAAUACCGGAUAAUAUAUUGAACCGCAUGGUUCAAUAGUGAAAGACGGUUUUGCUGUCACUUAUAGAUGGAUCCGCGCCGCAUUAGCUAGUUGGUAAGGUAACGGCUUACCAAGGCAACGAUGCGUAGCCGACCUGAGAGGGUGAUCGACCACACUGGAACUGAGACACGGUCCAGACUCCUACGGGAGGCAGCAGUAGGGAAUGUUCCGCAAUAGGCGAAAGCCUGACGGAGCAACGCCGCGUGAGUGAUGAAGGUCUUCGGAUCGUAAAACUCUGUUAUUAGGGAAGAACAAAUGUGUAAGUAACUAUGCACGUCUUGACGGUACCUAAUCAGAAAGCCACGGCUAACUACGUG
rnacentral:rRNA from 1 species